GUAAUUUUCCGCAACUGACGGAAUUAAGGUGGUUACCACCGGGGAGCGGAAGAUAGAUAAAGGGGAUUAGCCGACCGUCUGGGCAGAAAGA
rnacentral:ncRNA from 2 species